rnacentral:lncRNA from 1 species
GUCCCUGAACGCGUUGGGCAAAAUGAAACGGGUACGAAGGUUUAUGCAUCUGCCUCUAAACCUUCUGAUGCCCAACAUCUCAGACGCCGCGCUCAUGAGAACGCCUAUACGAGGGCGCCUUCCCCUACUCCUCCUGAAGAAGUCCCACGAACUGAGGAAGGGGAAACUACUCCUGUGCAGUCUCCUACUGCUGCCAGGCUCGCUUCCCUCUUUCGCACUCCAGAAGAGGAGCGAGAGAGAACUGCUGGGAAGG